CACGCCUGUAGUCCCAGCUACUCGGGAGGC
rnacentral:piRNA from 2 species